rnacentral:rRNA from 1 species
CCUACGGGAGGCAGCAGUGAGGAAUAUUGGUCAAUGGCCGGAAGGCUGAACCAGCCAUGCCGCGUGAAGGUCAGUGCCCUAUGGGCGUUAAACUUCUUUUGUGCGGGAGCAAUAAUGGUCACGUGUGGCCAGACGAGAGUACCGUACGAAUAAGCAUCGGCUAACUCCGUGCCAGCAGCCGCGGUAAUACGGGGGAUGCAAGCGUUAUCCGGAUUUAUUGGGUUUAAAGGGUGCGUAGGCUGGGAGGUAAGUCAGCGGUGAAAUGCCCCCGCUCAACGGGGUGAAGUGCCAUUGAUACUGCCUGGCUGGAAUGCGGAUGCGGUGGGAGGAAUGUGUGGUGUAGCGGUGAAAUGCAUAGAUAUCACACAGAACACCGAUUGCGAAGGCAUCUCACGAAUCCGCGAUUGACGCUGAUGCACGAAAGCGUGGGUAUCAAACAGGAUUAGAUACCCCUGUAGUC